rnacentral:tRNA from 1 species
GGAGAGGUGGCCGAGUGGUCGAAGGCGCUCCCCUGCUAAGGGAGUAGGCGGCUUAAACCCGCCUCGUGGGUUCGAAUCCCAUCCUCUCCGCCA